AUCCAGUUGAUGAGUCCCAAACAGGACGAAACGCAUCCUGAAU
rnacentral:hammerhead_ribozyme from 1 species